CAGUCGCCACGGGAAUACGUAGGGUGCAAGCGUUAAUCGGAAUUACUGGGCGUAAAGCGUGCGCAGGCGGUUAUAUAAGACAGAUGUGAAAUCCCCGGGCUCAACCUGGGAACUGCAUUUGUGACUGUAUAGCUAGAGUACGGCAGAGGGGGAUGGAAUUCCGCGUGUAGCAGUGAAAUGCGUAGAUAUGCGGAGGAACACCGAUGGCGAAGGCAAUCCCCUGGGCCUGUACUGACGCUCAUGCACGAAAGCGUGGGGAGCAAACAGGAUUAGAUACCCGCGUAGUCCCUGUCUCUUAUAC
rnacentral:rRNA from 1 species